AUCAUUACUGAGUUUACGCUCUACAACCCUUUGUGAACAUACCUAUAACUGUUGCUUCGGCGGGUAGGGUCUCCGCGACCCUCCCGGCCUCCCGCCUCCGGGCGGGUCGGCGCCCGCCGGAGGAUAACCAAACUCUGAUUUAACGACGUUUCUUCUGAGUGGUACAAGCAAAUAAUCAAAACUUUUAACAACGGAUCUCUUGGUUCUGGCAUCGAUGAAGAACGCAGCGAAAUGCGAUAAGUAAUGUGAAUUGCAGAAUUCAGUGAAUCAUCGAAUCUUUGAACGCACAUUGCGCCCGCCAGCAUUCUGGCGGGCAUGCCUGUUCGAGCGUCAUUUCAACCCUCAAGCUCUGCUUGGUGUUGGGGCCCUACAGCUGAUGUAGGCCCUCAAAGGUAGUGGCGGACCCUCUCGGAGCCUCCUUUGCGUAGUAACUUUACGUCUCGCACUGGGAUCCGGAGGGACUCUUGCCGUAAAACCCCCAAUUUUCCAAAGGUUGACCUCGGAUCAGGUAGGAAUACCCGCUGAACUUAAGCAUAUCAAUAA
rnacentral:rRNA from 1 species